rnacentral:rRNA from 1 species
UACGGAGGGUGCAAGCGUUAUCCGGAUUCACUGGGUUUAAAGGGUGCGUAGGCGGAUUAUUAAGUCAGAGGUGAAAUUUUGCGGCUCAACCGUAAGCUUGCCUUUGAUACUGAUGAUCUUGAAUUAACUUGAGGUAGGCGGAAUGUGACAAGUAGCGGUGAAAUGCAUAGAUAUGUCACAGAACACCAAUUGCGAAGGCAGCUUACUAAGGUUAAAUUGACGCUGAGGCACGAAAGCGUGGGGAUCAAACAGG